ACGGUUUUUGAUCAAGCUAGGCUAGACUGACGAUAGAUCAAUAUAUAUCUGAAAGUAUUUGGGGGUUUUUUCAUCCCAGCGUCUCUUUUGCUCCCGAAGACCCCAUUUGCACAGCAGGUGAAAUCAUGGAUGGUUUGCUUAAGGAAAUAAGAAGCAAGGACCAAGCAGCCGCCUCUGUACUGGAACAGGCGGAUUUACGCAGUGACUCAGAUCUCCAGUCACUGACUUUACAAGACCUGGGUUUGCUGUUCCCUGGAGUUAAAAAUGUCAAACUGAGAAGGGAUAUCUUUGAUAUAAUACACAAGCAGAAAUCAAUUGGUGAGCUCAUAGAAAAAUCCAAGCACUUCAUCCCACAUGACUCUCUCAGGGCUGCCUUAACUGAAAAUGGAGUUUUGGUCGACUACCUGAAAAUGUUGAAGGAAAUGAAGACCCAAAUGAAUAAAGAUUUCCUUGAUCCGCAUAUCAAUCUACUGGAGGACUUCAGGAAAUCUCAACCAUCGCAGGACCAGGACAAAGGUGAAAUCAUGGAUAUUUUGCUUAAGGAAAUAAGACGCAAGGAUGAAGUGGCAGCCAAUAAACUGGAAGUGUAGCGAGGGAUGCCCAGACCUCUACAUUGGAGAGACCAAACAGCCACUUCACAAGCGCAUGGCACAACACAGAAGAGCCACCUCCAUGGGACAAGACUGGGCGAUCCAUUUGCAUCUAAAGGAUAAAGGACACUCUUUCGAGGAUGCCAAUGUUCACAUUUUGGACAGAGAGGACAGCUGGUUUGAAAGAGGAGUGAAAAAAGCCAUUUAUGUCCACUGUGAGCGA
ensembl:lncRNA